UCCCUCUUAGCUCAGUUGGUAGAGCGCGUCACUAGUAUGUGAUGACGAGGUCAGUCGUUCAAAUCGGCUAGCGGGAA